rnacentral:rRNA from 1 species
UACGGAGGGUGCAAGCGUUAUCCGGAUUUACUGGGUUUAAAGGGUGCGUAGGUGGAUUAGUAAGUCAGUGGUGAAAUCUCCGAGCUUAACUCGGAAACUGCCAUUGAUACUAUUAGUCUUGAAUAUUCUGGAGGUGAGCGGAAUAUGUCAUGUAGCGGUGAAAUGCUUAGAUAUGACAUAGAACACCAAUUGCGAAGGCAGCUCACUACGGGAUUAUUGACGCUGAGGCGCGAAAGCUAGGGGAGCAAACAGG